CAGAAACUAUUCCUUAUUUAAAAAUUUGUACAAUUGGGCAUCAGGUGCCAGAUGACGACACUAGUGUUAAAUUCCAGUGAGAAUUUAAAUGGGUUUCUGAAAGAAAAUAAAGAUAAUGAUAUUUGAUUGAUGUAGAAGGCAUUUGGCCAGAUGAUGCAAUUGGAUACUGGUGUUUUAUCCUUACAAGUUCUCCGUCAUUCCAUAAGAGAGCUGCUCUUCUUCUGGUUUCAUAACAGAUGGUGAACAGUGUUAAAAUAUCCAGU